rnacentral:ncRNA from 2 species
AAACUAAUCCCAGCGCGGGGAAUUUCGGUGGAAUUCCGAAGCUGUGCCGCAACGGUGAUAGCCCGAGAACCGCUAAGGGA